CCCCGCCCAUCCCGCAUCUGCCUUUCAUGUGGAUCAAGGCCUGGAAGAUGACAAGCCUCCUGACUGAUAGAUACACCGAGGCUUCGCUGGUGAUUUAUUGGCUUUCUGCACCUGACGAGAACCACUAGGCUUAUCCGAAGACGGAAAUAUAUGGGCUUUCCUAACUCUAAGUGGCAACCCCAGGGCGAGCAUGUGAUGUCAAGCUGGGCCGUGGAAAGCAGAGCUGUGCACCAGCCUGUGUUUUAAAUGACACUAAUAUUGAACAUGACGCAGGGAGGAUUACUACAGGAAGCAAAAUUCUACCCCGACUCAAAGAAUGAUGGAAGUCGUACUAAGAAGUCCCUAAGCAAGGGAGAGGCUGAAGCCUGCAGCUCACAGCUCACCUGGAAUGCCUCUGGCUGCUGAAGGCCUGGAUGGAGACGCUGAGACAACCUGAUGAAUCAUCUCAUAAACAGAGCCUGCAGGAAGGAAAAGAAAAUUAUGCCAGCAGAAUGCACUUAUGGGAAAUAGAUAUGUGCGGUGCAGGGAGAAAUGCUUUGAUAUUAAAAUUUUUUGUAACUUAAAAAGGCAUGAAAAAUGAUACCGACCACUAAUCAACA